AGAACAAGAAUUAUCGAAUUCCGAGUUUGUAUGGUGGAGGUAGAGCUUUUUUAGUAAAAAUAAAUAUUGCUGGUGCAAGUGCAACAGGAUCUGGUGCGCACCUUUAGCGACUGGAUUUUGGACUUAUAGCGACGGGAAUGGAUCUUUUAGCGACCAGAAUCAGGUUACUAAUGUUGUUCUGGUUUUCGUUUUCUCAUUUUCACGUUGUUUUGGUGCACGAACACGUCUUGGGCCGAUUUUUUAGCAAGAAAUCAUGGGAAAUCUUGAGGUAAGUCACUUGUGAUCAUUUCUAAUCCAUAACAUUGAAUUAUCAUCAAUAAUCCGAGUAGAUUACAUGUUUUUGAGGUGAAAAUUGGGGAUUUGUACCUAGGGAUUUGAAAAUAAGAUUUGAAGAUUUGGAGGCCGAAUUGUUUUCGAAAUUUAGUAAUUUGUGAUGGUUGGACUCGUGGUUUAAUGGGUUGUCUGAUUUUGUGAGUUUCGUCGAAUUCCGAAGCAUGGGUCCAGGGGCAGGCUUUGAUCAAUUUUGGAAUUAUGAUGUUAAAUAUGAUAUUUUCGAGUGGGCUUUGCUCCCUUAGAAUAUUUUAAUGAUUAUGUACUGAUUGUGGCUAGAUUUGGAUCGCGGGCUAGAGUUUGGACCGGAUCGAGGUGAGUAAUGAUUGUAAAUGAUAUUCUGAGGAUUUGAGACCCCGUAUUUCACAUCGUAGUACUAUAUUGAGAUGAGACAC
rnacentral:lncRNA from 1 species